AACGUAGGAGGCAAGCGUUAUCCGGAAUUACUGGGCGUAAAGGGCGUCUAGGCGGUAUGGCAAGCGGGAUGUGAAAGCUCCUGGCUCAACUGGGAGAGUGCGUUCCGAACUGCCGAACUAGAGGCCAGGCGAUGGGGUGGAAUUCCCGGUGGAGUGGUGAAUGCGUAGAGAUCGGGAGGAACACCAGUGGCGCAAGCGGCCCCCAAGCCUGAGCCGACGCUGACGCGCGACAG
rnacentral:rRNA from 1 species